rnacentral:misc_RNA from 1 species
GAUGAAGAACGUAGCGAAAUGCGAUAAGUAAUGUGAAUUGCAGAAUUCAGUGAAUCAUCGAAUCUUUGAACGCACAUUGCGCCCAUUAGCAUUCUAGUGGGCAUGCCUGUUCGAGCGUCAUUUCAACCCUUAAGCCCUGUUGCUUAGCGUUGGGAGCCUACAGUACUGUAGCUCCCCAAAGUUAGUGGCGGAGUCGGUUUCACAAUCUAGACGUAGUAAUUUUUUCUCGUCUGUAGUUGAGCCGGUCCCCUGCCGUAAAACACCCAAUUUAUCAAGGUUGACCUCGGAUCAGGUAGGAAUACCCGCUGAACUUAAGCAUAUCAAUAAGCGGAGGA